UGGGUCGAUGCCCGAGCGGUUAAUGGGGACGGACUGUAAAUUCGUUGACGAUAUGUCUACGCUGGUUCAAAUCCAGCUCGCCCCAG
rnacentral:tRNA from 2 species